CCCAUAUAUACUUUUGUAGAAGAAUCAUCGUGGUACAGCAAGUUUGUCAACUGGCAAUACAAUGAAGGUUGGCACCAAAGUAUACUUGCAGAGAUGGAAAAAUUGAAACAAGACUGUUGCAAUGGGUAAACUAGUGAGUUGUGAUCCAAAACAGAAACUUGAUGGUGUUCAGCUAGGCAAAGAAUUUUGGAUGGUUUCUGUUAGUUUUGUAAUGGUAGAAGAUGAACCAUUGAUACGACCAUACAAAAACUACAAGGUUCUUAGAGAUGUAGAAGGAGGAGCCCAUGUUGCAUGGCCUUCAACUUUUGUACGGUCUUUUCUAUAACCCAUUGAGAUUUCAAUUCUCAUGUGUGUCAUAUUAUUUAAUUUAAUUUUCAUUUGCAGAUUGAGAAGAUAGAUAUAUGAUCACAGCAGAGGAACACUUGACUGAGCUGAAGGAAGGAGAAAGGAGGACAACUAGCAUGGUAAGAGGGAUCUUUUAUAUGUUUCAUAUUUGCUCACAUAGUAACAUGUGCUCUGUACCAAAAAAAUGUGUCAUGAAUUUGGAUGGUACUUUGUAAUGCGACAAAUUAUUUAUAAUAAAUAUAUAUAUGGCUCAGUGUGCUUAUUUUUA